CCCCUAGAUGUUCUGGGCCGCACGCGCGCUACACUGACGAAUGCAACGAGCUUAUAACCUUGGCCGAAAGGUCUGGGUAAUCUCCAAAUUUCGUCGUGAUGGGGAUAGAUUAUUGCAAUUAUUAAUCUUCAACGAGGAAUGCCUAGUAAGCGCAAGUCAUCAGCUUGCGUUGAUUACGUCCCUGCCCUUUGUACACACCGCCCGUCGCUCCUACCGAUUGAAUGGUCCGGUGAAGCGCUCGGACCGCGGCCUCUUGACGGUUUUCCGUCGAUUGGCUGUGGGAAGUUCGUUAAACCUUAUCAUUUAGAGGAAGGAGAAGUCGUAACA
rnacentral:rRNA from 1 species